rnacentral:rRNA from 1 species
UACGAAGGGGGCUAGCGUUGCUCGGAAUCACUGGGCGUAAAGCGCACGUAGGCGGCUUCUUAAGUCAGGGGUGAAAUCCUGGAGCUCAACUCCAGAACUGCCUUUGAUACUGAGGAGCUUUGAGUCCGGGGAGAGGUGAGUGGAACUGCGAGUGUAGAGGUGAAAUUCGUAGAUAUUCGCAAAGAACACCAGUGGCGGAAGGCGGCUCACUGGCCCGGUACUGACGCUGAGGUGCGAAAGCGUGGGGAGCGAACAGG